ACGCAAUUCCUAGGGUUGGUCGAAAGGCUGUGGCAUCUCCAAAUUAAAAUAGGAAUUUUCAUUAACAAUCCUACAUGGUGCGCAUUCGGACUGCGUUUCAAUCGCUGAUCGUCGCAAGGAACCUGAGUUUAUCAGCAAAGGCCCGAACGGAGGGCCAAACGAAAAAAAA